rnacentral:rRNA from 1 species
UACAGAGGGUGCGAGCGUUGUUCGGAAUUACUGGGCGUAAAGCGCGCGCAGGCGGAUCCUGUAAGUCUGAAGUGAAAUCUCACUGCUCAACGGUGAGACUGCUCUGGAUACUGCGGAUCUUGAGACCGGUAGAGACUGGUAGAAUUCCAGGUGUAGCGGUGAAAUGCGUAGAUAUCUGGAGGAAUACCGGUGGCGAAGGCGGCAUCCUGGACCGGCAUUGACGCUGAGGAGCGAAAGCUAGGGGAGCAAACGGGG